CGCAAGCCUGACGGAGCAACGCCGCGUGAGGGAGGAAGGCCUGUGGGUUGUAAACCUCUUUUCUCAGGGAAGAAGCUCUGACGGUACCUGAGGAGUCAGCAUCGGCUAACUCCGUGCCAGCAGCCGCGGUAAGACGGAGGAUGCAAGCGUUAUCCGGAAUUAUUGGGCGUAAAGCGUCCGCAGGCGGCUAAUUAAGUCUGCUGUCAAAGCCCACAGCUCAACUGUGGAUCGGCGGUGGAAACUGGUUAGCUUGAGUGCGGUAGGGGUAGAGGGAAUUCCUGGUGUAGCGGUGAAAUGCGUAGAGAUCGGGAAGAACAUCGGUGGCGAAAGCGCUCUACUGGACGGCAACUGACACUCAGGGACGAAAGCUAGGGGAGCG
rnacentral:rRNA from 1 species